GCGGGCGUAGUGUAGCCUGGAUAACACGCCUCCCUGUCACGGAGGAGAUCGUGGGUUCAAAUCCCAUCGCCCGCG
rnacentral:tRNA from 1 species